GCCCCCGUAGUUCAACGGAUAGAACAGAUCCGUCCUAAGGAUAAAAUGGAAGUUCGAUUCUUCCCGGGGGCACCA
rnacentral:tRNA from 1 species